UUUCCGUAGGUGAACCUGCGGAAGGAUCAUUAUCCAUCUUCAACCAGGUGCGGUCGCGGCCUCCAGGUGAUAACCUGGGUGGUUUCGCGCCGCAUUCCUGCACCCUUUUUUUACGAGCACCUUUGUUCUCCUUCGGCGGGGCAACCUGCCGCUGGAACUUAAUAAAACCUUUUUUUGCAUCUAGCAUUACCUGUUCUGAUACAAAUAAUCGUUACAACUUUCAACAAUGGAUCUCUUGGCUCUGGCAUCGAUGAAGAACGCAGC
rnacentral:misc_RNA from 1 species